AACAAACAUUCACAAUGAAAACAUCCCCUGCCCUUUGUGUGUGUAGAUCUGAGUUAUCAGCACCAGUGAUCUCGGCAGCACCUAACAAUGACUGAGUUCCAAAGUCUCCUAACAACAAAGUGACAGGUGCCCAUGAAAGAGCACUGCCCCGCAUUGCAGGUUAUACACAAGGGAUGAAUAAAGGAAAUGUAUGAUUCUCUGAAGAUGUAAUUAGAAUGGGAAAGAUUAGAUUUUUGUGAACAAUGGAAUAUUCGGGAAAGAGAUGGGAAAACUCCAGCCUGUCGUAUGGGCUUGGACUCUGGAGGAUCGCAGUCCGGGCUCUGGGGGGUGGGGGUGGGGACUUACUUCCUUGAGCCCAUUUCCUCCUCCGUUUCGGUGCAGCUGCAAAAGGAAGUGCUUCCUUUCUGCUCUAGCCGUCAAAGAGAAACAACCAAAUGCUUCAGGCAACGCAGGUCUUCCUGUUGCUACAAGUGAAAGAAAGAGAUAUUUGCCCUGAUUCAGCAACAGCAACCUGUUCACACAGAGGAUUUGCUCUUGGUGCAAAGACGUCACUGGCAAACUGUUAUCUGGACGGCUCUUCUCCACAUUAUGCUUCCCCCCCCCAUGGUUGGCUUACCCAUGAUAACAGAUUUAAUGAUGGUGGCAUCAGCAAUACAGCUAUCUAUGAUGAGCACCUGAGAAUUGCCCACCAUUUUAAGUGAGGGCUGCUAUCCCUAUGGGAUUGGAGGAAAUAUGAAAUGGCAGGUAGCGUGCACCUACUUACUGCUAGGUGAAAAUCAUGCCACGGCAAAUGGAUGGGCAGGUGGGAAGAUGAUGUGCAAAAUACAUGUCGGCACUGGUAGAAUGCCUGUGCAGAUACAAAGCCUUCAUCUGUUUGGAGCCAUGAAAUCUGAAGGACACCAUCUUCUUGUGUGAUGCUGUCAAUGCUGGAAUCACUCGUGUCUACCCAUGAGGAAAGCUGAGAAAACGGAGCAGGGCCUUUUCCAGAGGAAUAUACUGUAUAAACUCUCUCCCUGAAGAAGAUAGCCUGGCUCUUCCUGUAUAUGGUUUAGAGCAGUGGUCCCUAACCUUGGACCUCCGGAUGUUCUUGGACUACAACUCCCAGAAGCCUUCACCACCAUCUCUGCUGGCCAGGAUUUCUGGGAGUUGAAGUCCAAGAACAUCUGGAGGCCCAAGGUUGGGGACCACUGGUUUAGAGGCACCCCAAAGCUCUUUCCGUUCUGCAUAACUUUAGUGUUAUUUUAAAUGCUGAAGUGCCAUUCUCUGGAGGAUUUGUGUUUUUUUUAAAAAAAGAUGUUUGUCUUGUUCUUCUCAUUAUACAGA
rnacentral:lncRNA from 1 species